CCUACGGGUGGCAGCAGUCGAGAAUCAUUCACAAUGGGGGAAACCCUGAUGGUGCGACGCCGCGUGGGGGAAUGAAGGUCUUCGGAUUGUAAACCCCUGUCAUGUGGGAGCAAAUUAAAAAGAUAGUACCACAAGAGGAAGAGACGGCUAACUCUGGGCCAGCAGCCGCGGUAAUACAGAGGUCUCAAGCGUUGUUCGGAAUCACUGGGCGUAAAGCGUGCGUAGGCUGUUUCGUAAGUCGUGUGUGAAAGGCGCGGGCUCAACCCGCGGACGGCACAUGAUACUGCGAGCCUAGAGUGAUGGAGAGGGAACCGGAAUUCUCGGUGUAGCAGUGAAAUGCGUAGAUAUCGAGAGGAACACUCGUGGCGAAGGCGGGUUCCUGGACAUUAACUGACGCUGAGGCACGAAGGCCAGGGGAGCGAAAGGGAUUAGAUACCCGAGUAGUC
rnacentral:rRNA from 1 species